rnacentral:rRNA from 1 species
GGAUUAGUGGCGAACGGGUGAGUAACACGUGGGCAAUCUGCCCUGCACUCUGGGACAAGCCCUGGAAACGGGGUCUAAUACCGGAUAUGACUGUCCAUCGCAUGGUGGAUGGUGUAAAGCUCCGGCGGUGCAGGAUGAGCCCGCGGCCUAUCAGCUUGUUGGUGAGGUAGUGGCUCACCAAGGCGACGACGGGUAGCCGGCCUGAGAGGGCGACCGGCCACACUGGGACUGAGACACGGCCCAGACUCCUACGGGAGGCAGCAGUGGGGAAUAUUGCACAAUGGGCGAAAGCCUGAUGCAGCGACGCCGCGUGAGGGAUGACGGCCUUCGGGUUGUAAACCUCUUUCAGCAGGGAAGAAGCGAAAGUGACGGUACCUGCAGAAGAAGCGCCGGCUAACUACGUGCCAGCAGCCGCGGUAAUACGUAGGGCGCAAGCGUUG